rnacentral:tRNA from 1 species
GGGUUUGUGGCUCAGUGGUAGAGCACUUGCCUAUCACACAUGAGGCACUGGGUGUGAUCCCCAAAACCA